CAAAAGGUCUUUGAGGGGUCUGGUGGAGCGCAGGGGGCAUGUGAAGACCACGAGGCAACUGGGAGCGGCUGUUUCCCCGGCAGUGCGCGCCUCAGCUGGGCCGGGAGCCGUGCCAGUCGAUGCCCCCAGCAGAGCAGGGUCCGCCUCCCUCCCAGAAAUCAGCUGACCGGAGCAUGACCAGAGGGCAUACCGGAUCCACCAGAGGCGCUGCCGCCUGCGCUCCCAGGCCGUGGGUGAAAAAGAAAACACGGCCUCGCUUGGCCCGGAGCGAAGAGGUGGCCCGGAGCGAAGAGGUGGUCCCGAGCGAAGAGGUGGUCCCGAGCGAAGAGGUGGCCUGGAGCGAGGAAAUG
rnacentral:other from 1 species